UACGUAGGGGGCAAGCGUUAUCCGGAUUUACUGGGUGUAAAGGGAGCGUAGACGGCAGCGCAAGUCUGGAGUGAAAUGCCGGGGCCCAACCCCGGAACUGCUCUGGAAACUGUGAAGCUGGAGUGCAGGAGAGGUAAGCGGAAUUCCUGGUGUAGCGGUGAAAUGCGUAGAUAUCAGGAGGAACAUCGGUGGCGAAAGCGCUUUACUGGACCAUUAUUGACGCUGAGGAACGAAAGCCAGGGGAGCAAAUGGG
rnacentral:rRNA from 1 species